CUGGGCUUGACCUCAGUCUCCGCCUUGGGGCUGGCCCGGAUGUUAGCCCAGAGGAAGCGAACGGAGGCGUGAAAUAGGCUUUGGCAGUUGUGCUUUUCCUUUUAGGCUCCUGGCCGCUGGCUUGAGAAGAGCAUCUUUUGUGGCCGUGCAGACACUUCCUCUGGAUCGGCUGCUAGCCCUGGGAGAAUGAGAAGGAAGUGGACGAAAGCAAACACACAGCUUGGAGUCAAGCCUAGCCAAGCCCAGCCCAGAUCCGCCGGGUCAUGCUAGCCGCCACCCCUGCUGAAAUAGAUGCUUACUCUUGUUUGCCAAGAGACUGAGAGCCCAAGAUGGAGGAGCAGCAGAGGGAGAGAGAGAGAAUCUCAAGCAGACUCCCCACUGAGCAUGGAGCCCAACGAAAGGCUUAGUCUCACAACCCUGAGAUCAUGACCCGAGCUGAAAUCAAGAGUCGGAUGCUUAACCAACUGAGCCACCCAGGCACCCCUUGAAAAAUCUUUUUUUUCUUCAGAUUAUAUUUGUUUGAGAGAGAGAGAGAGAGAGAGAGCAAGAGAGAGCACAAGGGCGAGGGAGAAGUAGGCUCCCCACUGAGCAAGGAGCCUGAUAUGGGGCUCGAUCCCAGAACCCUGGUAUCAUGACCUGAGCCCAAGGCAUAUGCUUGACUGAGCCACUCAGGCGCCCCUUGAAAAAUCAUUUCUAACUGAAAAUGAGUUUACUGAUUGAAAACAAAGUCCUAAUAUUUUAAAUUCCUAUAUCUACUUGAAUCCAUUCUUAAACUUUUAAAAUCUGUUUUUAGAGAGGCAGAGAGAGAGAUAGGAGGGGCAGAGGGAGAGAGAGAAUCUUAAGCAGGCUCCACAUCCAACACGGAGCCCAACAUUGGGCUCUAUCUCCCAACCCUGAGAUCAUGACCUGAGCUGACAUCAAGAGUCAGGCACUUAACCAACUGAGCUACCUAUGUGCCCCUCAUAAACUUUAUUCUUUUUCAUUUA